AAAGUAUUCCCUCCGUCCCAAAAUUCUUGUCUUAGAUUUGUCUAGAUACGGAUGUAUCAAGUCACAUUUUAGUAUUAGAUACAUCCGUAUCUAGACAAAUCUAAGACAAGAAAUUUGGGACAGAGGGAGUAGUUG
rfam:Triticum aestivum genome assembly, contig: Triticum_aestivum_CS42_TGACv1_scaffold_592792_7BS